GAUGAACGCUGGCGGCGUGCCUAACACAUGCAAGUCGAGCGAACAGACGGGGAACUUGCUCCCCGGACGUUACCGGCGGACGGGUGAGUAACACGUGGAUAACCUACCUAUAAGACUGGGAUAACUUCGGGAAACCGGAGCUAAUCCCGGAUAAUAUAUUGAACUGCAUGGUUCAAUAGUGAAAGACGGUUUUGCUGUCACUUAUAGCUGGAUCCGCGCCGCAUUAGCUAGUUGGUAGGGUAACGGCUUACCAAGUCAACGAGGGGUAGCCGACCUGAGAGGGUGAUCGGCCACCCUGGAAGGGAGACAGGGUCGAGACACCUACGGGAGGCAGCAGUAGGGAAUCAUCCGUAAUGGGCGAGAGCCUGACGGAGCAACGCCGGGUGAGUGAUGAAGGUCUUCGGAUCGGAAAAUGCUGUUAUUAGGGAAGAACAAAUGUGUAAGUAACCAUGCGCGUCUUGACGGUACCUAAUGAAAAAGCCACGGCUAACUACGUG
rnacentral:rRNA from 1 species